rnacentral:rRNA from 1 species
AAAUACUCCUGACUGACCGAUAGUGAACCAGUACCGUGAGGGAAAGGCGAAAAGAACCCCGGCGAGGGGAGUGAAAAAGAACCUGAAACCGUGUACGUACAAGCAGUGGGAGCACGCUUAGGCGUGUGACUGCGUACCUUUUGUAUAAUGGGUCAGCGACUUAUAUUCUGUAGCAAGGUUAACCGAAUAGGGGAGCCGAAGGGAAACCGAGUCUUAACUGGGCGUUAAGUUGCAGGGUAUAGACCCGAAACCCGGUGAUCUAGCCAUGGGCAGGUUGAAGGUUGGGUAACACUAACUGGAGGACCGAACCGACUAAUGUUGAAAAAUUAGCGGAUGACUUGUGGCUGGGGGUGAAAGGCCAAUCAAACCGGGAGAUAGCUGGUUCUCCCCGAAAGCUAUUUAGGUAGCGCCUCGUGAAUUCAUCUCCGGGGGUAGAGCACUGUUUCGGCAAGGGGGUCAUCCCGACUUACCAACCCGAUGCAAACUGCGAAUACCGGAGAAUGUUAUCACGGGAGACACACGGCGGGUGCUAACGUCCGUCGUGAAGAGGGAAACAACCCAGACCGCCAGCUAAGGUCCCAAAGUCAUGGUUAAGUGGGAAACGAUGUGGGAAGGCCCAGACAGCCAGGAUGUUGGCUUAGAAGCAGCCAUCAUUUAAAGAAAGCGUAAUAGCUCACUGGUCGAGUCGGCCUGCGCGGAAGAUGUAACGGGGCUAAACCAUGCACCGAAGCUGCGGCAGCGACGCUGAUGCGUUGUUGGGUAGGGGAGCGUUCUGUAAGCCUGCGAAGGUGUGCUGUGAGGCAUGCUGGAGGUAUCAGAAGUGCGAAUGCUGACAUAAGUAACGAUAAAGCGGGUGAAAAGCCCGCUCGCCGGAAGACCAAGGGUUCCUGUCCAACGUUAAUCGGGGCAGGGUGAGUCGACCCCUAAGGCGAGGCCGAAAGGCGUAGUCGAUGGGAAACAGGUUAAUAUUCCUGUACUUGGUGUUACUGCGAAGGGGGGACGGAGAAGGCUAUGUUGGCCGGGCGACGGUUGUCCCGGUUUAAGCGUGUAGGCUGGUUUUCCAGGCAAAUCCGGAAAAUCAAGGCUGAGGCGUGAUGACGAGGCACUACGGUGCUGAAGCAACAAAUGCCCUGCUUCCAGGAAAAGCCUCUAAGCAUCAGGUAACAUCAAAUCGUACCCCAAACCGACACAGGUGGUCAGGUAGAGAAUACCAAGGCGCUUGAGAGAACUCGGGUGAAGGAACUAGGCAAAAUGGUGCCGUAACUUCGGGAGAAGGCACGCUGAUAUGUAGGUGAAGUCCCUCGCGGAUGGAGCUGAAAUCAGUCGAAGAUACCAGCUGGCUGCAACUGUUUAUUAAAAACACAGCACUGUGCAAACACGAAAGUGGACGUAUACGGUGUGACGCCUGCCCGGUGCCGGAAGGUUAAUUGAUGGGGUUAGCCGCAAGGCGAAGCUCUUGAUCGAAGCCCCGGUAAACGGCGGCCGUAACUAUAACGGUCCUAAGGUAGCGAAAUUCCUUGUCGGGUAAGUUCCGACCUGCACGAAUGGCGUAAUGAUGGCCAGGCUGUCUCCACCCGAGACUCAGUGAAAUUGAACUCGCUGUGAAGAUGCAGUGUACCCGCGGCAAGACGGAAAGACCCCGUGAACCUUUACUAUAGCUUGACACUGAACAUUGAGCCUUGAUGUGUAGGAUAGGUGGGAGGCUUUGAAGUGUGGACGCCAGUCUGCAUGGAGCCGACCUUGAAAUACCACCCUUUAAUGUUUGAUGUUCUAACGUUGACCCGUAAUCCGGGUUGCGGACAGUGUCUGGUGGGUAGUUUGACUGGGGCGGUCUCCUCCUAAAGAGUAACGGAGGAGCACGAAGGUUGGCUAAUCCUGGUCGGACAUCAGGAGGUUAGUGCAAUGGCAUAAGCCAGCUUGACUGCGAGCGUGACGGCGCGAGCAGGUGCGAAAGCAGGUCAUAGUGAUCCGGUGGUUCUGAAUGGAAGGGCCAUCGCUCAACGGAUAAAAGGUACUCCGGGGAUAACAGGCUGAUACCGCCCAAGAGUUCAUAUCGACGGCGGUGUUUGGCACCUCGAUGUCGGCUCAUCACAUCCUGGGGCUGAAGUAGGUCCCAAGGGUAUGGCUGUUCGCCAUUUAAAGUGGUACGCGAGCUGGGUUUAGAACGUCGUGAGACAGUUCGGUCCCUAUCUGCCGUGGGCGCUGGAGAACUGAGGGGGGCUGCUCCUAGUACGAGAGGACCGGAGUGGACGCAUCACUGGUGUUCGGGUUGUCAUGCCAAUGGCACUGCCCGGUAGCUAAAUGCGGAAGAGAUAAGUGCUGAAAGCAUCUAAGCACGAAACUUGCCCCGAGAUGAGUUCUCCCUGACUCCUUGAGAGUCCUGAAGGAACGUUGAAGACGACGACGUUGAUAGGCCGGGUGUGUAAGCGCAGCGAUGCGUUGAGCUAACCGGUACUAAUGAACCGUGAGG